GACGAACCGUGCGAACGUUAUUCGGAAUCACUGGGCUUAAAGCGCGUGUAGGCGGGCCGGCGCGUCGGUCGCUGAAAGCCCCCGGCUCAACCGGGGAAGCGGCGCCGAUACGGCCGGCCUGGAGGGGGGUAGGGGGACCUGGAACUUCCGGUGGAGCGGUGAAAUGCGUUGAGAUCGGAAGGAACGCCCGUGGCGAAAGCGAGGUCCUGGACCCUUUCUGACGCUGAGACGCGAAAGCCAGGGGAGCGAACGGG
rnacentral:rRNA from 1 species